rnacentral:tRNA from 1 species
GGUUAUGGCUCAGAGGUAGAGCGCUCGCCUUGCAUGUGCAAGUCCCUGGGUUCAAACCUCAGCACCA